rnacentral:rRNA from 1 species
CACUUUGUCUCUAUGGCAAAUGUGAGAUGCAGUGUAUGGAAUGUCAAAUUUCUAGUAUGAGAAAUUAACGAUUUAAGUCCUUCUUAAAUGAGGCCAUUUACCCAUAGAGGGUGCCAGGCCCGUAUAACGUUAAUGAUUACUAGAUGACAUUUCCAAAGAGUCGUGUUGCUUGAUAGUGCAGCACUAAGUGGGUGGUAAACUCCAUCUAAAACUAAAUAUAACCAUGAGACCGAUAGUAAACAAGUACCGUGAGGGAAAGUUGAAAAGAACUCUGAAUAGAGAGUUAAAUAGUACGUGAAACUGCUUAGAGGUUAAGCCCGAUGAACCUGAAUAUCCGUUAUAGAAAAUUCAUCAUUAUGAUUUUAAUAUAUAACAUAUAUAUUAUAAUAAUGGUGUGCAUUUUUUCUAUAAAGGACAUUGUAAUCUAUUAAUAUUAAAUUAAAUAUUUAUCAUAAGAUCAAUAUGCGUAAGUUUAUUCAAAUUAUUUUGCUUGCAAUUUAAUAUAGAAUAAAUGCUUUUGAUUUGAUAAAGUAUUGAUAGUUUUAUUAUAUAUAGUGCUUAAAUAAAUUUUUUAUUUUAUAAUGGCAUAUUAAUCAUUGAUUUUUAUGUUUAUUAUAUGCACUUAUAUGAUUAACAAUGCGAAAGAUUCAGGAUACCUUCGGGACCCGUCUUGAAACACGGACCAAGGAGUCUAACAUAUAUGCAAGUUAUUGGGAAUAAUAAACUUAAUAGCGAAAUUAACAUAACUUUUUAAUGGGAUUAGUUUUUAGUAUCUAUUUUUAAUAGUCUAUUAAUUCAAUCCCGGGGCGUUCUAUACAGUUAUGUAUAAUAAUAUUUAUAUUAUUUAUACCUCUAUCUAGAGCGUACCUUGAGCAUAUAUGCUGUGACCCGAAAGAUGGUGAACUAUACUUGAUCAGGUUGAAGUCAGGGGAAACCCUGAUGGAAGACCGAAACAGUUCUGACGUGCAAAUCGAUUGUCAGAAUUGCAGUAUAGGGCG